rnacentral:rRNA from 1 species
UACGUAUGGUGCAAGCGUUAUCCGGAUUUACUGGGUGUAAAGGGAGCGCAGGCGGCGCGGCAAGCCUGAUGUGAAAGCCCGCGGCCCAACCGCGGGACUGCAUUGGGAACUACCGGGCUGGAGUGCCGGAGAGGUAGGCGGAAUUCCUAGUGUAGCGGUGAAAUGCGUAGAUAUUAGGAGGAACACCAGUGGCGAAGGCGGCCUACUGGACGGUGACUGACGCUGAGGCUCGAAAGCGUGGGGAGCAAACAGG